rnacentral:misc_RNA from 1 species
UUUUUUUUUUUCUUUUCCAGAUCGGAUUGGAUACACAUAUAAAUAUCACACCUUCACUUAACCAUUUCUCCUCUUGUAGGUCUGCUGCUUCUUCCAUCGUAGUCGCCCCUCUUUCUUCCACUGAAUCGUGCCCGCUUCCUCUCUUCCUCUGUCACCAAUGGCUGUCACUUUCUCAGAUCUCCACACUGAAUCAGGCCUCAAGUCUCUUGAUGAGUUUCUGGCCCGAAAAUCUU